CUUAUUACAGCUGUUAAGUGUCAUUGGUAUUAAUUUGUCAAAUAUCAAACUACUUAAAAGGUUACACAUUUUUAUAUUAUCCUCUGUUUAAUGUGUAUGGGUCGGGAUAUUUGAAGCUAUUGCGAUGAGUACUGAAGUAAAAGCCCGGCCUAAGGACUGCCUAGCAUGCAGAAUUGUGGGGGCCGCCGGCCUUAUAGGCAUUGGAGGUUACCUCGCCAAUUAUGCUUGGAAAAACAAAACAUUUGCCGGGAGGUACACCUUAUCUACACUUUCUUUCGCAUUUAUUGUUCUGGGAGUCUCAAGGUACAAGCAAACAUAUCCGUUUGACAAGAAAGUAGAACAAACAUGAGAGCAAGUGAAAUUAUAUUUAAGAUUACUGUUUAGAUUGUGAUAUUUUGUUAUGUAAAUAAAAUUUUGUUGAAUAAGA